rnacentral:misc_RNA from 1 species
GAUGAAGAACGUAGCGAAAUGCGAUAAGUAGUGUGAAUUGCAGAAGUACCGUGAAUCAUCGAAUCUUUGAACGCAAAUUGCACUCUCUGGUAUUCCGGGGAGUAUGCCUGUUUGAGGGUCGCUUAACAAACCAUCGAUUUCGUUGCUUUUUUUUUUUAAAAAGUGAUGUUUAUCGGAUUUGAGCCGUCUUUUUUUUUUUAUAUUUAAGUGGCUUAAAAUUGAUUUUUUUGGUACGAUCGAAGCGUAUUUUUAUGAUCAAUUUUUGGUUAAAGAAACGCACACGUACCGUUAUUUAUAUGAUGUAAUACGUUUGACUAUUGGAUUUAGUUCAUUCGUAUACGAUAUCUUUCAAUAUUUGACCUCAAAUCAGGUAAGAACACCCGCUGAACUUAAGCAUAUCAAUAAGCGGAGGA